CAGGCGCUGGCCUGGCCGUGUUAGGCUUCGCUGGCGUAAAGUCCCCGGGAGCUUUGCCCCUCACGGAGAACGUUAGUUGACCCUGAUGGGGACCCGUAGGGUAAAGGUUUUGUUUUUGUUUUUUUUUACGGAAAAGGUUGUGGUUAGGCCCCUUGGAAAGUUGCGACAAAACUCGAGUUAGACAAGGAAGGUCGGAACUAAGUGGCCACAGCAACAAUGCACCAGCAAGCAGGGAGCGUGAUAGGAAGAGCUAAAGAGGAAUCGGGAAACCCUGGGGUCUCACCGCCGUCGCCCAGGCCGGAUGGAGUGCAGUGGCGCGAUCACGGCUCACUGCAGCCUCGACUUCCCAGGCUCAGAGAUGGGUUUCACCAUGUUUCCCAGCCUUGUCUCAAACUCCUGACCUCAAGUGAUCCGCCGUCUUGGGUCUUCGAAAGUGCUGGGACAGCAGGAGUGAGCCACCGCAUCUGGCCCGGAAAGUGUUUUGGAGCGUAGAAAAAUGCAAAUUAUAGGGCUGCCUUCAAGGAUCCCGAAGGACCCACAGAUUUGCCGCAUCAGGCUCCUAUGCACGCCGGUAAUUUGAUGUGUUGAGAUGCACUGCCCAGUGCGUUGUUUUUACUGGAGGAGCUUGUGUGCGGAGCUCCUUGCUAGUGUAUGUGUUGGGAUGGGAGAGAAGUGCGGGAGAACUAUGAGAUAAUGCCCCCUGAUCCUCAGGGUCUUAGGAGGUAUGGUCGGAGAGGCUAAGCUAAAGUAUGAAAGCCGUGUGUAGGCCCUUCUGUGUAGUGCAGAAAAGGUAGAGGUAUGUGAUUUGAAAGAGUAGGGAUGACAUGGAGGAUGCGACUCCUGGUUGGAUCUAUAAACUAAUGUCUUUGGAACGAAAGCACAUGCAACCUUUUGAAAAUGGAUGGGUGAUAAUGAAAGACCAUUCCAGAGAAGAAACACCAUGGUGCAAAGGCUCAAGAGGCAUACUGGAAGUACAAUGAAGAGAGCAAUCUAACUGAAAUGGGAAAAAAAGAAACAAAGAGUAAAAAGUAAGAUUUGAUGAGAAAGAUGGAAUCGAUUUUUAAAUUUUUUUAUCUACACAACAAAAUUUAUUAUCUUAACCAUUUUUGAGUGAAUAAUUCGUUAGUAUUAAGUAUAUUUACCUCGUGCGGCCAGUCUCCAGAAUUCUUUUCAUCUUGCAAAACAAACCCCGAACCCAUUAAACAAUUUCUCAUUCGCCAUUUUCCAGCUAGCCUUGGUAACCUCCAUUCUAGUUCUGUCUCUGUGAAUUUGACUGUGUACCCCGUGUAAGUGGUAUCAUACAGUAUUUGUAUUUUUGUGACUGGCAUAUUUCACAUAGCAUAAUCUCCUUGUGGUUUAUCCAUCUUGUAGCAUGUGUCAGAAUUUCCUUCCCUUUUAAGACUAAAUAAUAUUCCAUUGUGUGUAUAUACCACUUGUGUUAUUUCCACCUUUUGGUUAUUGUGAAUAAUACUGCUUCAAACAUGAGUGUACAGAUAACUCUUCAAGAUCCUUUUAGGGUAAUACAGAGAUAGUAAGUUAUCUUGAUUGUUCACUGCCAGUUACAGACCAAACUCCUUGUUCUCCUUGUGCUCCACUUCUCAACCACUGCACUUGGCUAGUCUUAAACAAAAAAAGAAAAAC
rnacentral:lncRNA from 1 species